GACGAACGCUGGCGGCGUGCUUAACACAUGCAAGUCGAGCGGUAAGGCCCUUUCGGGGGUACACGAGCGGCGAACGGGUGAGUAACACGUGGGCGACCUGCCCUCAGCUCUGGGAUAAGCCUGGGAAACCGGGUCUAAUACUGGAUAUGACUCCAUGACGCAUGUUGUGGGGUGGAAAGCCUUGUGCGGCUGAGGAUGGGCCCGCGGCCUAUCAGCUUGUUGGUGGGGUGAUGGCCUACCAAGGCGACGACGGGUAGCCGGCCUGAGAGGACGACCAGCCACACUGGGACUGAGACACGGCCCAGACUCCUACGGGAGGCAGCAGUGGGGAAUAUUGGACAAUGGGCGCAAGCCUGAUCCAGCGAUGCCGCGUGUGUGAAGAAGGCCUGCGGGUUGUAAAGCACUUUCAGUAGGGAAGAAAGCCGAGUGCUAAUAUCACUCGGUCUUGACGUUACUUACAGAAGAAGCACCGGCUAACUCCGUGCCAGCCGCCGCC
rnacentral:rRNA from 1 species